UACGUAGGGACCGAGCGUUGUCCGGAUUCAUUGGGCGUAAAGAGCUCGUAGGCGGCUGCUCAAGUCGAAUGUGAAAACUCGAGGCUCAACCUCGAGCCUGCAUUCGAUACUGGGCGGCUAGAGUCUGGUAGGGGGAUCUGGAAUUCCUGGUGUAGCGGUGGAAUGCGCAGAUAUCAGGAGGAACACCGGUGGCGAAGGCGGGUCUCUGGGCAGUAACUGACGCUGAGGCACGAAAGCGUGGGUAGCAAACAGG
rnacentral:rRNA from 1 species